AGAGUUUGAUCCUGGCUCAGGAUGAACGCUGGCGGCGUGCCUAACACAUGCAAGUCGAACGGAGACGGAGCUGGAAGGGACAGUUGACUGUAACGGAAAGAUCUGUCUUAGUGGCGGACGGGUGAGUAACGCGUGGGCAACCUGCCCUGUACCGGAGGGAUAACACUUAGAAAUAGGUGCUAAUACCGCAUAAUAGGGAAUACCGCAUGGUAAUCCUUUGAAAACUCCGGUGGUACAGGAUGGGCCCGCGUCUGAUUAGCCAGUUGGCGGGGUAACGGCCCACCAAAGCGACGAUCAGCAGCCGGCCUGAGAGGGUGAUCGGCCACAUUGGGACUGAGACACGGCCCAAACUCCUACGGGAGGCAGCAGUAGGGAAUCUUCGGCAAUGUACGAAAGUCUGACCGAGCAACGCCGCGUGAGUGAAGAAGGUUUUCGGAUCGUAAAACUCUGUUGGUAGAGAAGAACGUUGGUGAGAGUGGAAAGCUCAUCAAGUGACGGUAACUACCCAGAAAGGGACGGCUAACUACGUGCCAGCAGCCGCGGUAAUACGUAGGUCCCGAGCGUUGUCCGGAUUUAUUGGGCGUAAAGCGAGCGCAGGUGGUUUAUUAAGUCUGGUGUAAAAGGCAGUGGCUCAACCAUUGUAUGCAUUGGAAAACUGGUAGACUUGAGUGCAGGAGAGGAGAGUGGAAUUCCAUAUGUAGCGGUGAAAUGCGUAGAUAUAUGGAGGAACACCGGUGGCGAAAGCGGCUCUCUGGCCUGUAACUGACACUGAGGCUCGAAAGCGUGGGGAGCAAACAGGAUUAAAUACCCUGGUAGUCCACGCCGUAAACGAUGAGUGCUAGAUGUAGGGAGCUAUAAGUUCUCUGUAUCGCAGCUAACGCAAUAAGCUCUCCGCCUGGGGAGUACGACCGCAAGGUUGAAACUCAAAGGAAUUGACGGGGGCCCGCACAAGCGGUGGAGCAUGUGGUUUAAUUCGAAGCAACGCGAAGAACCUUACCAGGUCUUGACAUACUCGUGCUAUUCCUAGAGAUAGGAAGUUCCUUCGGGACACGGGAUACAGGUGGUGCAUGGUUGUCGUCAGCUCGUGUCGUGAGAUGUUGGGUUAAGUCCCGCAACGAGCGCAACCCCUAUUGUUAGUUGCCAUCAUUAAGUUGGGCACUCUAACGAGACUGCCGGUGAUAAAUCGGAGGAAGGUGGGGAUGACGUCAAAUCAUCAUGCCCCUUAUGACCUGGGCUACACACGUGCUACAAUGGAUGGUACAACGAGUCGCGAGACAGUGAUGUUUAGCUAAUCUCUUAAAACCAUUCUCAGUUCGGAUUGUAGGCUGCAACUCGCAUACAUGAAGUCGGAAUCGCUAGUAAUCGCGGAUCAGCACGCCGCGGUGAAUACGUUCCCGGGCCUUGCACUCAACGCCCGUCA
rnacentral:rRNA from 1 species